CCUGAUCUUGCUCUCCGUACCACGUGUUCCAAGUCCCCACCAGAGCACAAGGGUAGUGUUUUUCUUCAUGAAUCUUUGGCAGCACCUCUUGACUUGAAAACAAGGAACACACAGACACUGGGUUGCAUUGCCUUCAAGGAGGCCACAGUUGAUAAAUGUAUAACACAGCAUCAUGCUAGGAACAUUCACAAGCUUUAUUCUGCAGAGGAGAAAGCUGAAAUAUCAAAUUCUGCUAUGCAGGGAGAAGGUGGCUACACCCCCACGGAGAAUUAAGUGUGCAGAUAAAACCCAUCCUCAACCUGGCAGCUGCAGUGGGAAUGCCAACAUUCCACCUCUCCCUGCAGGGAUCAGAACUUUAAGAAUACUCAGGGAAGGGAGAGAUGCCACCAAAGCUCUCAGGACAGGAAUCAUCCUCAACUACAGCUUAGGAAAUGGCAAUGCCAAGAGGGAAGUGGGGUGAACUGAGUACAGGACUUUUUCAGAGGAUCUAUUUAAUAAUAAAUCCAAAAAACCCAGAAUUUUGUCUCCUCCCCUCCACCUAACCAUGAUAUCUGCCAAUUUUCAGAUCCAAUCAACAUGUCUAAGAGGUGAAAAGAGAACUCACACACUUACCAGAGCUUGUUGUAGGCCUCUAGACAUUCAGGUUUGACAUUGUGAACUGCAACAACAACAACAGGGUGAGGUGGGCAGGGACAGAGGGAAGGAAGGUGCUGCUGACACAAAGCCACCACUCACACUGGAGUUUGUACAGGCUGCUGGUCUCUCUUUUGGCCAGGAGGUUGGAGUGGGCAUCUUUCCUGGGAUCCACUUUUCUCACAAAGAGGGAUUUUAGCCAGCUGUCCUCACGGGCACUGCGGGCAGAGGAGCCCAGCCCCCUGCAGGGAACAGGGACACAACUUCUGAGCCUCUGCAAUUGCCACCAGGCAGCAAGGUAAAUUUAAUGUAAAUUACAGUAUCACAACCUACACAUGGCUAAACUUCCCACCCAGCCUCUCCCAAAGGCAUCUCAGCCCCUUGAGACUGAUUAUUUCACUAGAUAGACUUAUCCACAUUAUCCAUGGUUAUUCCCAGCUUCUGCUGCCUUUUUAUCCUCUUUUUAACACAUUGUCUUUGCCCAGGGCUGGGUCUGGCAUGGUGUAAACAAUUAGGAGUAAGUAAGAGCAAAAAACAUGCAGCAGGAAGAGUGUGCACAGUGUAAAAGGGAAAGGAACUGCCAUAUGCUCCUGUGUUGCUUAAAAACAGUUCUACAAAAGGGAAAGGGAAAUGUCUUCCAAGAGGAAAAAUAGCAUAAAAGACUAAUUUGGGAAAAAGAGAUGAGUGGUAGGAAAUAACCAGGCAGGAAAUAUUUCAAUUGCAGAUUCUGGCAAGUGCAUUAUGUAGGGACACAGAGCCAGGCUCUCUGUACAACACCCACAUCUCCCUUGCCUCAAAACACAAGGUUUGCACUGUCCUUUCUUAUCUCAUCCAAAAUAGUGUCACCUCCCUUUACAGCAGAGCACACAGACCAAGUGAUAACUGUGUUUAAAGUGAUGUGUUAAAGGAAUUAUUCCUCUUUUCCAGAUGAUCAGGACAAGGAAUCUCAUGUAUUUAACUGAUCCUCUACAAUGUCUGACAAGCUCAAAUGUUUCUGCUUCCUUCUCUUCCUUCAAUUUGCCUUUUUCUGACAGCCCCAUAGUAGCCAGAGUGAAGAAAAUUAAUUCUGUCACAAGCUUCUCCUGAAACACUAAAAUAUUAAAUGUGGUAUUUAUACCACAUAUAUUUACUUCUCAGAUGGAAAUUUCAGCCUUUUCUUGCCUCAGAUGUCAACUUCUCAUCCUUAUUACUGAUUUGGGGAUCCAGAAGACAGUUGGAUCUACAGCCCAAAGCCUUUCUUGCAGGAAAAAAAAAUAGGGAAAGAAAAUCUCAAUUUCCUUUAGGAAAAUAUCCCCCUGGACAUACCUAUUACACAAAUGCACUUUUUACAAGAAUCCACCUUUUAAUUCCACUGUCAGAAAAGAACAUAAUGACCUGGUUCUGCCCAUGGAAGCAGGAUGGAGGAAAGUAUUUCAAAGCAAAGAAACAACUACCACAGCUGAGAUGACCUCCAGCAUGAAGAAAUAAUGUAUAAAUCCUGGUGUGUUUAUUGAAAAUGGUGCCUUCCUUGCCCUGGGCACACACACAGACAUGUGGCUGUGCUGGAAGCCAGGCAGAUAUUCCUGAGGGCAGGCAUUUGAAGGGCAUUCCAUGAUAAGGCUGCUGCUGGAGCACAGCUUUCUCUGAGCUCAAAGCACAGGGGUGAACCCAUCCCAGAAAUUCAAGUUUUGUUCUAAAAGCUUCUUCAAAUGAAGCCCUGCCUGGCUCUAGGAAGCAGAAGUCAAGCCCACUCCCAAACUGUGAACUCUCACCAUUCCCUCCCCUUUAUUAAACAAAGUUAGCAGAGUAAUAAUUAAAAAACUCAUCUACAAGGAUCACUGUUUGCAGCAAACUUUGAAGAGGAAAGAGAAAUAAUCCUGAUGCUUUUUUGGUGAACUUCAUCAGCAGCAGGAAUAAGCUGGAGCUACUGAGGUAACUCAGAAAAAUAAAUUUCUUUGCUAUUAGGAGAAUCUCAUGACUUGAAUGUUAAAGUGCACCUAAAAGUGGAGGUAUAGGUUAAUUUUCAAAACAAUGACAUGAGUAAUACUUU